rnacentral:rRNA from 1 species
ACGUAGGGGGCAAGCGUUGUUCGGAAUUACUGGGCGUAAAGGGCAUGUAGGCGGUUUAGUAAGCUUGGCGUGAAAGACCACAGCUCAACUGUGGGGUUGCGUUGAGAACUGCUGAACUUGAGUUACGGAGAGGGAGCUAGAAUUCCUGGUGUAAGGGUGGAAGUUGUAGAGAGCAGUAAGAGUACCGAUGUGGAAGGCAAGCUUCUGGCCGAUAACUGACGCUGAGGUGCAAAAGUGUUGGGAUCAAACAG